rnacentral:rRNA from 1 species
CUGGAGGUAUCAGAAGUGCGAAUGCUGACAUAAGUAACGAUAAAGCGGGUGAAAAGCCCGCUCGCCGGAAGACCAAGGGUUCCUGUCCAACGUUAAUCGGGGCAGGGUGAGUCGACCCCUAAGGCGAGGCCGAAAGGCGUAGUCGAUGGGAAACAGGUUAAUAUUCCUGUACUUGGUGUUACUGCGAAGGGGGGACGGAGAAGGCUAUGUUGGCCGGGCGACGGUUGUCCCGGUUUAAGCGUGUAGGCUGGUUUUCCAGGCAAAUCCGGAAAAUCAAGGCUGAGGCGUGAUGACGAGGCACUACGGUGCUGAAGCAACAAAUGCCCUGCUUCCAGGAAAAGCCUCUAAGCAUCAGGUAACAUCAAAUCGUACCCCAAACCGACACAGGUGGUCAGGUAGAGAAUACCAAGGCGCUUGAGAGAACUCGGGUGAAGGAACUAGGCAAAAUGGUGCCGUAACUUCGGGAGAAGGCACGCUGAUAUGUAGGUGAAGUCCCUCGCGGAUGGAGCUGAAAUCAGUCGAAGAUACCAGCUGGCUGCAACUGUUUAUUAAAAACACAGCACUGUGCAAACACGAAAGUGGACGUAUACGGUGUGACGCCUGCCCGGUGCCGGAAGGUUAAUUGAUGGGGUCAGCGCAAGCGAAGCUCUUGAUCGAAGCCCCGGUAAACGGCGGCCGUAACUAUAACGGUCCUAAGGUAGCGAAAUUCCUUGUCGGGUAAGUUCCGACCUGCACGAAUGGCGUAAUGAUGGCCAGGCUGUCUCCACCCGAGACUCAGUGAAAUUGAACUCGCUGUGAAGAUGCAGUGUACCCGCGGCAAGACGGAAAGACCCCGUGAACCUUUACUAUAGCUUGACACUGAACAUUGAGCCUUGAUGUGUAGGAUAGGUGGGAGGCUUUGAAGUGUGGACGCCAGUCUGCAUGGAGCCGACCUUGAAAUACCACCCUUUAAUGUUUGAUGUUCUAACGUGGACCCGUGAUCCGGGUUGCGGACAGUGUCUGGUGGGUAGUUUGACUGGGGCGGUCUCCUCCUAAAGAGUAACGGAGGAGCACGAAGGUUGGCUAAUCCUGGUCGGACAUCAGGAGGUUAGUGCAAUGGCAUAAGCCAGCUUGACUGCGAGCGUGACGGCGCGAGCAGGUGCGAAAGCAGGUCAUAGUGAUCCGGUGGUUCUGAAUGGAAGGGCCAUCGCUCAACGGAUAAAAGGUACUCCGGGGAUAACAGGCUGAUACCGCCCAAGAGUUCAUAUCGACGGCGGUGUUUGGCACCUCGAUGUCGGCUCAUCACAUCCUGGGGCUGAAGUAGGUCCCAAGGGUAUGGCUGUUCGCCAUUUAAAGUGGUACGCGAGCUGGGUUUAGAACGUCGUGAGACAGUUCGGUCCCUAUCUGCCGUGGGCGCUGGAGAACUGAGGGGGGCUGCUCCUAGUACGAGAGGACCGGAGUGGACGCAUCACUGGUGUUCGGGUUGUCAUGCCAAUGGCACUGCCCGGUAGCUAAAUGCGGAAGAGAUAAGUGCUGAAAGCAUCUAAGCACGAAACUUGCCCCGAGAUGAGUUCUCCCUGACCCUUUAAGGGUCCUGAAGGAACGUUGAAGACGACGACGUUGAUAGGCCGGGUGUGUAAGCGCAGCGAUGCGUUGAGCUAACCGGUACUAAUGAACCGUGAGGCUUAACCUUACAACGCCGAAGGUGUUU